AUCCUCCUGGGGCUCUUCAAAGUGGCUCUAGGAACUUGAAGUCCACCUCAAGAAAGCAACCAUGGAUUGGAUUUAGAUCCAACUAAUAAAUAUUGCCCUGAUGAGAGCAAGUUGCCAAGGGAGAAUUUAAGGAUUUUAAAGAUUUGUUCCCCAGACAAAGAAAUAUUUCUUAAACAAAAUUUUAGGAGGAAUACCACUGUAUAAACAGGAAAAUCAGGGCUGCUUGGGUUGAAGCAGGAGUCAGGACCUCAGAGCCCAGUUCACUUGGCCCUCCUCCCCCGCCUCUGUGGUCUCCCUCGAGCUGCAUGGAACGCUAUGCUGCUCCCAACUCUAAAUGGAUUAUAGAUCUAUGAUUCUGAGAAAGUCCUACUCGUAUCAGAUACAGACUACGAACUCCUUUCUCUGGACAAGUACUACAACUAGCCAGACCUCAGAAAUCUGCGUUUCUCCCCAGUUUAGAGAAUCAUAGAAUGCUAAAGGUAGAAGAGACCUGAGAAAUCACUGAGUCCAAAACUCCACAUACCUAAAAAAAUUUUAAUUUUAAUUUUCAUUGACUAACAGAAGCUCAGAAAGAAAAAAAUGAUUUACUCUGGGGAGUCAGUUGGUCAGUUUCCUCUUUCUCCCAGAGGGGUGAUAUUUCUAACAACCAGUAUAUUCUAACCAACGGAAACAAGUAAAGCACUGGGGCAGGAUCCACGGCAGGCCCUUCAGGGCAGGCUUCAGCCCAUCAGUUGCCGGAUUUUGAGGAUGUCCCAGGGGUUCUAGAAGGAUUGAGGUGGCUAGGGCAGCAGGGGUUGUGUGGUCCAGGGGCUGGACUGGGGGGAGUGGCUAUUUAUAAGUAAUCUGGAAUUAUUUAAUGAUUGGCAUAGCCAUCCUGGCACAUAAUAAUGGAGUAUCAGUCCUAGCCUUUCAGUAUUCACUCAGCAGAAUACCCAAAGUUACAGUUUCCUUGUGAUUGCUGCAAAUCUCUUAUGUAACUGGGACUUGGUCCCACUGCUGCUGUUGCUUCCUUUUCAGGGUGGGAAGAAAGAGCAGGGAGGAGCAGAUUUUCUGCCAGCCAAGUGUCACAUCAAAGCAUUCCACCCAGGUCCACACAGGUGCAGAUACCGGAGGGGCAUCGCCGGGCCAAGAGUGCUGUUGCUGGUAAUUGGGUUGACAUCAUCUCACAGCCUUGACAGAGUUGAAUCCCUCCCACAGCUCCUGCCACCUCCUAUCUAGUGGUGAAACCUCAGGUGGGAAACUGGGGGAUUAUGCAAAAGCAAAUGCCUGGAAACUAAAACGUAACAGUUCUCAAGAAAAAAGAGACUUCCUGCUAGGUUCUGGUCCAUAUACCAGAGAGGAAGAAAAGGAGCAAGACCCCAGUUGCCUAGAAGUGGGUGCAAAGAGGGAAUCAAGGAGCAUCAUUGGAUUUUAUACUCAUGAGAUGAGAAGGCUCCCUAACAGUCAGUUGCUCGAACUGUCAAGCUUGAAUCUUCAAAGUGAACUAUCCCUGACACCAACCAGACUAAAAGAUGCUCAGUUCCUGAGUAAGCUUUUGUCUCCCCCACUUCUAGAUCUUUCCACAUAUUGUUUCCACAGCCUGAACUUCCCUUCCUCUUUCCCUGCUGUUUUGAGCCCAUCUCCCAUUUGUUUUCCACGUCUCACUUCAGAAAAGAUUUAGAAAAGGAGCUGUCUUAGAUGUCCUCUACAGCCACUGGAAUUCACACCUGCAGCUUUCACUCCACUGAUGUUUCCAUCUCUGUCUUCCUCCUGGACUAUGAGCUACAUUAGCAGAGGGACAGGCUCUGUUAUGUUUACGCUGCAGGACCUAACAGCAGGAAAAUGUGAAUGACUGACUGAAUGAAUGAAUGGAUUGCUCCAUCUUGACUGCUGGCAAAGUCUUUACAGUCAUAAUCUCAUAUUAUCACUGUGUCAGGACUAUAAAGGAUGUAAGAUUGGUUAUGCUUACAAGAAGUAAUAUUUUAACUCUUACUUUCUGGAUGAGGAAAACAGGGUCAGAAAGAAAGAGGGGAAAAUCCUGAUACAUGUUUAGGACAUAUGUAGGAUAGGACAUUGUGCUAGAUACCUUCAAACUUUUUAUCAUCUUCAUCCUUGUAACUGACUUUUGAAAAGUUACUUUCAUUACAUUUUCAAAAUGUAUUUAUUUUUUAAAUGUGCAUAGCCUUUUCGUAUACAGUUCUAUGAGCUUUGAUAAAUACAUAAAGUCAUGUGGCCCCCACCACAAACAGGACACUUAAUGCCCCUCAACCUCCUGCUGCCCUUGUAGUCAUGCCCUCCUCACCCCAGCUCCCUGCCAACCGCUGGCUUGUUUUCCAUCCCUGUAGUUUGUAUAAUCACAUUUUUAACAAAUAAGAAAAAGAAAGCUCAGAGAGUUUAAGAAACUUGCUCAAGGUAAGCGACUUGAUUAGAUUUUGGAUUUGAAACCAGAGUUCUGAUUAACUGUAAAGAUGGAAAGCAGGAGUGUGCAGCCGGGGAAAACAGCAGUGCCAUCCCCUGGCCUGCCCCUCACCUUCCACAAAGAGGGCCCCGAGUCAGCGUUCUGGGAGAGGCAGGGCACGCACACCUCAUUAGUGAAGGCAAACUCUGAUAAAGCUCCACCGCUGAUCAUCCACUAGGUGCUGAGGGAAGACUGUUCCUACCCAAUGGGAUAACCUGCAAACCAUUAUGAUGGGCAGGCUGCUUAGCCAACUAUGGGGUAAGAGAUUGGUCUUUUUCCAGUUCCCCCACUUAUCUCCAAGACAAGAGGGUUCUGAGAAGAGGUCACUGCUAACCAUUUAGUCUCUCAGCUCACCAGCUUCCCCACCACGGCCCCAGGGGCCCUUUUCCAGUUGCAGUAAGACUGCAAACGGUGAGCCUGGCUUGCACCAGGCGGGUGCUGCUGCUAAUUGGGCUGAUGUAAUUAACUGUCACUGUGGUUCACCUGGGAAACCAGCCACCCUUUCAGUGUGAGCGGCCUCACUAGCCCAGCCUUCAGCUGGGAGCACUGCUCUUACUGGAGCUCUGAAAGCACGGAGGUUUAGAGGCCACUUCAGAAGCCGAGAGCAGGGCUGCCCCUGGGAGAGGGCCAUUUCCCUGGAAGGCACUGGCUUCACAGGUCAUGAGGGACAGAGAAUCAUUUUAUCUUCAUCCUGCUUUAAAUCAGGGUGGCAGGAUAUUGGUGCUACUUUUGUCUAAAGGUAAUCUCUUUCUAAAGGAAACAAAGUACUUCUCUGGAGCUGAAGACAGCUAAGUGAGCUGGGAUCUGGGUGCCCUGAUAAAGGAAAUAGCUAUAGGCCUCCUGCGUCUAACCCAGACCCCACUGCGGCCCUUCCGCAGAUAAUUGCGAGACCCCACCCCCUGUCUUUCUUUCCUCAGAGGAUACCUAGGAAAUAAUUUGCAGUUGGUGAGGGCUGAUCCUUCCCUUCAGGCUUCAGCUUUUGCUGCACCAGGCCUUCAGGCUCUGCCACCCAUUGCAGUUGGAUCUGCUCCUGAGAGCCUUUUACAUCAAGAUCCCUGAUGCUACAGGUUCAGGAGCCCCCAGAGAACCGAGCCUUCACAUCCUGCAUCCCCUGCAGUGAUAAUGGACUAAACCCAAGGCCCUCACAUGAUACUGGGAUAGCCAGUAGUGAAAGAACGUCACAGGCUGUGAAAACCCUAUUUUCUGACCCAGUUACCAACUAGCUGGGUGAUCCUGGAAGAGUUGUUUACCUUCUCUGUGAAGAUUAUCUUCUUCAUCUGUGCAAUGGCAUAAAAGAAUACCUGUCAUACAGGGUUGUAGAGAGAAAAAUGCAUUUCAAGUGGCGUACAGAACAGACUCGAUAGCAGUAAUUAUGAUCACGCCCACCAUCGUCAUCACCGUUACUCAACAGAGUUUAGUAAAUAACAACAUUUGGGAAUUUUACUAAAUUGUACACGAUGUUCUCUGCCCUUUGCUGACAAGCCUUGGUAUGAGACAAUAGGAGGAAUGCUCCAGCUAAUAAUGCCUAGUCUUUGUUUCUGAAUGGAAUUUCUCCCCUGAGAGCCUCUUGUUUUUCACCGUGAACGUGGCUACACACUGAUUAGUAGGUAGAAGGGCCCUCUCUAGCCCUGAACCCAGAGCCCAGAGGCCAGGACUAAGCCAAGGCUGACAGCUCUAGCCCGUUUCUUCUACAUUCUACACCGGUCCCUCUGGCCUCUCAGAAUCAAAGUUUUCUCCUAAAGAGAAGGCAAUUUCUAGCCAAAAUAAAGACAUGGUAGAAAAAAAAAUCAGCAAUGCAAAAAAGAAACCAGAAUCCUUUCCUUUCCCUGCCUCAGCAGCUUUCCCAUCGGGAGCUGUAUGCACUGCAGCCUGCGCAUCCUUCUGCCCAAGAGUGCGCGUUUCCCCACCUCCUUCAAUCUUUGCCUAUUGCAGGUGGCCUUCCCUUGUCAUGAUGUGUGGGCAUCAGAGGAAAGGGGGGUGAGACUCACAGAAUACCUAUGUUCAAACCAGAAGAUGUGAAAUCAUUUGAAUGCAGGAAACUACCUUUUACACUAUAGCUAACUACUGGAGCACAGCUGGCCGAUGCCCUUGUCCACUCACUAUCUGCUGGGUCAAAACGGUAGCUACUGCAUUCCCUUUCCUUGAAAUCUGGGGCUGAGUGAAAAAGGAUAUGGAACAGGUAAAUAAUUAAUUCAUAGCAACUCUGGCAGCAUGUCUGAAGGUGUAAGUUAAUUUAGCAGGUGUCAUUCCCCAUUAGAUGUACAUGGACUUUUCAUCACACCAAUGGUUGGAAAUUAAGGAUCACUUUUCAUCUCAGGACUCUGAACUAGUGUUGACAUUGGCUCUAAAAUCUCUUAUCAUCUUUGGGGAGAAAAUUAUGGAUCAGGAGAAAUUUUAAGAUGUAGCCAGCACCACACAAUAUAUGAUCAGACUACUGAGGUUUUUAUUUCCUAAACUACCCGUCCAGGCAUCUUACAGUCUUCUUUUCUUACCCAUAAAAUUAAGAUCAUAAUUCUCUCUCUCUCAUGUUAUAAUAACUAUGUUAAAAAUAUAAAAAGUAGAAAUACCUAAAAUCAACAGUAGUUAUUUCCAAAUGGUGGGAUUAUAAGUAAAAUUAAUUUUUGUUUUUCUUACUGUAUUUCCCAAUUUUUAACACAGAACAAUUUGUUAAUUUUAUCCUAAAGAGAUGUUUUUUAAUUACACAUUUCAUAAGACUGUAUGCAUAUAUACAAGUCUUUUAAAUAGUAAAAAGGCACAACACAUGUGAGUGCUAUUGCUAUUCAGUUAUUACUCAGUCUCUUGAUCGUUCUGUAAAUUCUGAGGCCUUGUAGCACCUUUCUUCCUGGAGAGCAGUCUCAAACAAAUCCUAGAUUCCAAGGGUACUCAGUGAAGCACCCUGUCCUCUUCUAGUCAUUUAAAGACAAAGCCACUUAUGCCUGUUCAUUCUUGCAAGCAUGCAAAAUGUAACCAGUAGCUGGGUCAUAGAGUCACAUCUAUUGCAUGUUCUUGAAGUCCAGGCAGAAUGAACAGAGCUGCUGGGUGAGGAAAGCUGGGGUGGGGAACAGAGCACUGAAUCAUUACAUCCUCACCAGAUGUUGACUCUAAGGCUUCAGCCCACCCAAUAUCCUUAGGCGAAGUUUCUUGGCCACUGUUUCCCUCUCUGUGGGCCCCAGUGUUGACCAAUCAUCCCCCCUGGCACCUUAUAAGGGAAAGCUAAUUAGAAAACUCACCUUGCAAGAAUGCUGCAGAGAGACCUUUCACACGGAAUGGAACCGCAGUGCCCAGAGGCACCGUGACUCAAUGAUGGAACUCAUUUCCAACACCCAAGCCUGAUCCCUCCCCAGCCAAAGAAAGGGAUGACCUUCAAGGCAAAGGCCAGGCAAACUUCCACAGGGCCAGCUAUGGAGACAGUGGGUGGGAGUGGCAGAUCCUCAAAGUGCUUGAGAAAGUACUAGUUAAACCUAGAAUGUCAGGAAGGGAAGGAAAAAGGUCAACCAAUUCAUUUACUCAUUUGUUUAUUUUACCGGUGUGUGUAUCUGCCUCUAAUGUAUCGUGGACUGUGUUAUUUGCUAUUGGGAAAACAAAGAUGAAUCAGAUAGUCCUGACCCUCAGGUCUAGUUAGAAGGAAAGAUAUUAAUUAGAUAAAAUAUUAAGUGCCUUAUCAUUUCCAUAAAUGAAAAUAUAUACAAAAGACACAGAAUGACUAAGUCAGGAGUACCUUUAGGCUGAGAAGGAAAGUGAAAGGUUCACAUAGGAGUUAAAUCUGAGUUGGGUCUUAAAGAAUGACUAGGAGUCUGCCACAGAGUGAAAACAUGUGCCAGCGAGAGGGAAACACGUGCAUCAGUAAGUCAAUAGGGGCAUCUGAGGCAGAGCGAAUGACGCAGCUGUUGAAAGUUAAUUUCAUUUCCUAAAUAUUUCAGAGCUUUCCGUAGGUCAUUAUGUUAUGUCAUUGUCUAAAAUUGUCAUGGGAGUUUCACUUAUGUAAAACUCACAGGGAGAUUGGCAUCCCAAAGCAGUCCAGUGAUCAAGAGGGAGAGAAAGGGAAGUAGGAGUGAAGCAGUUUACGACAUCGGCAACAGUACAGCUCGUGUCUUUCCACGCGAGCUCCGGGAUGUGCUACCUUAGAGGCCAUCAGAGGUGCUGCUUCCGAGUGGUUCUUCGCUCUGCCUGCCAGCUUGAUGGUUUCGUAUAGUUUUACAUGUGGAUAGAUGGGAACCACCCAACAGCCAUUGUGUGUAUAUAUAGAUAUAUAUAUAUUUUUUUAAUGUGAUUUUUCAUGUUUUACCUUUUGUUUUUAUUUUUCUUAUUUCCCAACUUACCCCAGUCUUGGGUAUGUACACGUUCCUGUUGGGCAUCUUCAGAAGACGGUUAUGUGCCUGUCGCUACCUUGUCUGUAUUGCCUCCAUUUCACUGAGAAUAACCAUCAUGAGCAAAGCUGUGGUAACUUCUGCUCAUUCCUCCUGCUUUCCUCUUAUGUUUUUCAGCUCAGAGUGGUAUGAAACGAGGUACAGGGACAAUUGCUGAGUUGAAAAGGAGUUGGGUACUUGGGAGACCAGAAUUUUCUCCUUUUUCCUGGAAGCAUAUGUGAACAGAAGGGUUGAGUCAUCUUAUUAACACACUGCUCUGAGCAUGGACCCACUGACACCAUGACUCAUCAGAUGGUGGGACAUUGAAGUCAUAUUCCUAAAUGACUCCAUUAGUCUUUUUCCUAGAGAAAGUAGGAUCUUCUCCGGAGCUUUAUAAAUCUCAAGGUAGACAUUGAGAGACCAGCAUACCUUUCCAGAGUAUUCUUCUUUAGUAUCUUGGUGCCCUUCUCCAAGAUCACAAUCUUUAGUGCACAGUCCAUGGAGACAAACUUUAGCUUCUGUUCUUAAAGUAGAACAGGUUCACAUGAACAUUUAUUCACUGUUUUAGAUUAACAUUAAGAUGUCUGUGUCCCCAAUUUCUUUCUCCAGUCCUCAGUGAUAUUACCACAUUCAUCUUCCUGAAAAUGCCACUCAGAUAACAUCAUCCUUCUGUUUUAAAAUAUUCAUUAGCUUCCUUCUACAUUUAAGACAAAAUCCAAGCUAUAUAGCCAUGCUCUUAGAGUCCCUAGACUCUCAUCUGACUCUCCAACCUUAUUUCAUAGUAUUCCCAGCCACAUGUCCAACCCAUCCAGCCACAAUAAAGUGCUUGAGGACCCAGUACACAUACAUCUCACUGGAGACUGUGACUCACCUGUUCUUUUCUGCUUGCAUUGCAUUUCUUUUGAAUGUCCAAAAAAAAAAGAAAGAAAACGAAAUGGGACUAUAAUUUAUGGCUCACCUUCCUUGACUUUCCCCAAACAGAUAUAAACACUCUCUCUAAUUCCACAGGACCUGAGGAACAUUAUAUCUGCAUUUCUCAUUAGGUGCUUAGCUUCUCUCUCUCUGUACCAGUAAAGUAUUCCCCUAUUAGACCAUAAAAUAUUAAGUGCCUUAUCAUUUCCAGAAAUGAAAAUAUAUACAAAAGACACAGAAUGACAAAGUCAGGAGUAGCUGUAGGCUGAGAAGGAAAGUGAAAUAACAUAUUAGAACAGAAGGAACUUAGAGGCAGGGACUUCUUCCUGUUUGGUUCAGUGUUCUCUCCCUAGCACUUAAAAGACUGUCUGGCAAGUGAUGGGUACCCAAUGAACAAUUAUUGAAAGAACACCUACAUUAUUCUAGACACUGUGCUGUAGUUCCUAUCUUGUCUUUCUCUAUUGACUGUGUGCUCCUUAAAGGCAUGGAGACCAUGCUUUAUUCAUCUAUAUUCAUCUAUUUUCUCCCUUUUCCUGGAGGCAUAUGUGAACAGAGGGGUCGAGUCAUCUUAUUAACUUCCUAUAUUGAUAUAGUUAGCAUAGGGCCCAGCACAUAUGAAGAACCUGGUAAACAUUUUGCCAAGUAAACUACAUCAUAAAAGAAGGAGUAUCUUUAUAAACAAUGAACCCCACCCAAUAUCCUUUUAAUUCUUAAAUAACUACGUUCUUUCUGCCUCUCUUUUUCAGAUUCCUGUGACAAGGUACUAGUUGCCCUUGAACAGAAAUCUCAGUAACAGACAUUUGUCCUGACUUUGUUCCUACAAACACUUUUUACCCGUAACUCAUAUUCUAAGUAUCCAUUUCAUUGCUCACCAUGGAAUUCAGGGAGAAAUGCAGAGGAGAAAAUGUGUCUGAGAAAUAUCAUGGAGGCCAUAUUGUCAAAAUGUGGCAACUACUUAAAGAUGCAUUGACAACCUGGAAAAUCGUAGGAGCAGUAACAGAAGAACAGAAGGUGAAAAAGUUCAGAUAGGAGAAGAAGAUUGGGGUUUAGAUGAGAACAAGAUGUACUAGAAAGAGGAUUGACUGAAUUUACUGUCAGAGGAAUUGAGCUUGCUUCCACAUUAAUUAGCCACGUGACUUUGAGUAAAUACCUCUCUGAUCUCAGUAUUUUCAUUUCUAAAAUGGGCUUAAUGCCUGCCAUACCAACAUAACAAGGUUAUUGUAAGUUUCAAAUGCUGUACUCAUUAUAAAAGGGCUUUGUAUAAUAAUUAAUAUAAUCAUUUCAUACUAGACCAGUAGAGUCUUCUCUGGUGGCCUUGGAGAAUUAGACUUAGUUCCCAGUAGUCUUUCUUUCUUUCUUUUUUUUUUGAUAGACACAGAUGUAUAAAUCUUGAGAGAAAAUUCCUUUGAUAAUAUUUAUCAAUAUGGUUUUGUAUAAUGAAAGAAAUCUGGGGAAAUAUGUAUAUUUUUUUCCUAGGAUCAAUACAAUGUAUUUUAUUAUAGUUAGUCCUAAUUUGUUUACUAGCAUAUAAUGAAAUACUAUGCAAUCAAUUAAAAGUCAUGUUUUCAAAGAAUGUUUAUACAUGUGUUCAUGAUGACAAAUGGGAAAAAAGCAGCAUAUAAGCUGUAUAUAUAUAGUAUUAUGCCAAUACUAUAUAUGAAAUGCAAAUCAAUUCAACAAAUAUUUUUGAGCACCUAUUAUACAUAAUGAUGACAUUUUCUCAUAGUAUUUGCUCAUAAACAUGUUUGUUAGAUGAAAAGUAUUUCAUUAUAUAGUCGUACCACAAUUUGACCAACAUCUCCUUAAUGGCUAUUUUGAUUGCUAGUAUUUGUGGUUAGUGUCAUUAUAAGGUGAGAUCCCAGGAAAAAUCAUUACUCUUCAGAAAAUCUUUACUGGGUCCUUUGAGCUUAUAGCUCACACUAAGCAAUGAACAAUGCCAUAAAAUUUAUAUGUGUAUGUGUGAAAUAUAUGUAGGGAUAGAUAUAGACAUGUGUGUGUGUGUAUGACAUAUUACUUGGUAUUAUAAAAUUAUAAAGUUAUUUUCAGUUAAUAGAUUAUGCAUCUGUGUAAACAACCUAAGAUGAUGGAAAGAAAAACAUUAAUUAAAAAUAUAAGCCAUUAUGUUGAGAUAAUGCCUAGAAUAUAAUAAAUAAGAAGGACUGAAUGAUCCCAAGAAUUCACAGAGAGAACAAAACCCUAAUCUUAACAGAGAAAGUCCAACUAGUGAAAUCUAGAGCUUAGCUUCUGGUUAGCAGUCGUUACAUCAGUGUCUUACCUAUUGAAUGGCUAAAGUGUUGAUCAAGCUACUCCAAGAUGGGGAAAUUUCACAGAAGAUUGUCCUUGAAACCCUUUGAGGAGAACAGCUUCUUUUUUUUCCCUGUUCAUCUGUCUAUGAACUGUGAGCCUCCUUAGACCAGUCUUGCCACCCAUAGUGAACUCCUUUCUCUUGUCAGUUUAUUGGCAGAUAACAGAGUGUUUGAAUGCCUUGAAUAAACAUAUAUAUACUAUUUAUAAGUAUUUCUAUGUAAACCAUCUAUAUCUAUAAAUUAAGCUUAACCUGAGUUCAGAUGAAUGUUUCCGAAUAUAAUCCAUUACCACAUUGAUAACUCUAAUCUCCUCUCCCUGCUUAUCUGUAAAGUCUCAUGCCAACAGUGAGAAACCUGGCUCCCACCAUCUGCCAUCCAUUUACUUAAUCGUACGUUUCUAGUAUACACGUAUAGCAGAAUAAGAAUUGAUAACUUACUACACUGGAAAUAACUUUAUUAGCAAGAGUACAAUGCAUAUUUACUUGUUCCUUUUGCUUUUAGUUUUACACUCUCAACUAAUUUCUAAAUAAUCUCAUUCAAUUAGUAUCUCUUAUUCUAAACCCUUCAGUGAGGUUGUUUCACAUAUUUGUAAUACAGUUAAGUUGCCCUGUCAAAAUCUGCACUCCUUCCUGGGGACAAAAUGGCUUCAUAAAUGUUGUUUAAUUAGCAUACAUAAGGGUCAUGUUAUGUGCUUUAAAGUUGUAUGGAUUUUGAUAAGUGCAUAAUGUCAUGUAUCUAUGCGGUAUCAUACAGGACAGUUUCACCGACUUAAACAUUACCUGAACAUCACUUAUUCAAUCAUUUCCCUUUCUUCUUGAGCCGUUGGCAGCUACCAAUAUUUUUAUUCUCUCUAUAGUUUCACUUUUUCCAGAAGGUCAAAUAAUUGGGAUCAUACAGUAUGUAGCUUUUUCAGACUGGCUUCUUUCACACAGCAAUGAACAUUUAAGGUUCUAUGUCUUUUCAAGACUUGAUAGGUUACUUACAUUUAUUAUUGAAUAGUCUUCAAUUGCAUGGAUUUUAACAAUUUGUUCAUACCUUUACCUAUUGAGGAAUAUUUGGUUGCUUCCAGGAUUGGUGAAUAUGAAUGUAGCUGCUAAAAACAUUCUGUGCAGAUUUUGGUUAAGUUGUUAACUCUUCAAAUCAAUUAAAUGUAGGAGUGUAAUUGUUAGGUCAUAUUGUAAGACUAAGUUUAGCUUUGUAAGAAUCUGACAAACUGUCUUCCAAAGUGGAUGAACAAUUUUGGAUUUCUACCAUUACACAGAAGUUCUUAUUUCUCUGCAUCUUUACCAGCAUUGGUAUUGUUAGAGUUUGGUUUUAUUUUUUAAAUUUUAGCCAUUCUCAUAGAUGUAGAGUAGCAUUUCAUUGUUUUAAUUUGAAAUUCUCUAAUAGCAAAUGAUGUUGAUCAUCUUUUCUUAUGAUCAUUUGCCAUCUAUAUAUCUUCUUGAGGAGGUGUCUGUUCAGAUCCUUUGUCCAUUUUUAUUGGCUUGUUUCUUUUCCUAUUGUUGAUUUUUAAGAGAUCUCUGUAAUUUUGGGAUACAAGCCCUUUAUCAGUUAUGUGUUUUGCCAAUAUUUUAUCCAAGUCUGUGGCUUGUAUUUUCAUUCUUUAAAAUCAUCUUCAACAGAGAAAUUUUUAAUUUUAAUGAAAACCAAUUGAUUUUUUUCCCAAUUGGGUUGUCCAUUUGGUGCUGUAUAUAAAAAUUCAUCACAUGAUUUUCUGUUUUUUUCUGAAUUUUUUUCAGUUUUGCCUUUUACAUUUUGGUUUAUGAUCCAUUUUGGAUUAAUCUUUGUGAAAAGUAUAAGAUCUAUCUAGGUUAAUUUUUCUUUCCUUUUUGGCAUGGACCGCCAGUACCAUUUGUCAAAAAGCUAUCCUUUCACUGCUGAAUUGGCUUGUACCUAUGUCAGUUAACUAUAUUUGAUCUAUUUCUGGACUAUUUUGUUCCACUGAUCUUAGUCCUCCAGCUUUGUUCUUCUUCCUUAUUCUGAAGUUGGCUUUAUCUGAAAGUAACAUAACAUCUUUAGAGUUAGAUUAGACACAAGUAGAGUUAGCAAGAUUAGAGUUAGCAUAGUAUAUUUUUACUUUUAACCUGAGUCUUUAUAUUUAAAAUGGGUUUCUUGCAGGCAAUGUGUAGUUGUGCCAUCUUUUGUUUUUAUUCAUUCUUACAUUCUAUCUUCUUUAGUGUGUUGAGGCCAUUCACACUGGUGAUAUAAUUGGGUUGAAAUCUACUGUAUUUCUAACUGUUUCCUACUUGAUACACAUGUUCCUUUCCUGCCUUUUUUGGUUAAUUAUUUUAUAUGAUUGUAUUUAUUUCUUCUUUUAGCAAAUCUAAAAUUAUUUAAUGGUUACCCUAGUGUUUGUAAUAUUCAUUUCAAGUUAAUCAAGAGUCUACCUUCUAAAUAGCACUGUACCAUCUCACAUGUAAUGCAGGUGGUGUGUAAUACAGGAUUCCCAACGCCUCCCUCCUUUUUCUUAUGACGUUGUUAUCCAUUUCACUACCCAUGUGCUAUAAUUACACAAUACGUUGUUAUUAUUAUAUGUUAAGCAGUUAUCUUAUAGAUCAACUAAGAAAGAGAUAAAGAAAAUAUUUUAUUUACCUUCAAUUUGUUCCUUUUACAAAUGUUUGGGAAAAUUUAUUUUUGAAGCCGUCUGUUCCUUGAUGUUUGUGAGAUGUCUUCAAUUUCAAACUCAUUUUUAAAAAUCAAAAUGUUGUACUAGUUAUAUUUUUUUUUCCUCUUGUGUAUGUUUUUGGUAAAUGAUGAGCUCAAGAGUUUGUUCAUUUCAUUUCAUUUUCAAACUUACUGGUCAAAAAUGGUUCUUAAAAUUCUCUUAUUAACUUUCUAAUAUCUGUAUCAAUAAAAACAUUCCCUU